rnacentral:rRNA from 1 species
CAGAGGGGGCAAGCGUUGUUCGGAAUUACUGGGCGUAAAGGGCGCGUAGGCGGCCUUCUAAGUCGAACGUGAAAUCCCCGGGCUCAACCCGGGAACUGCGUCCGAUACUGGAGGGCUUGAAUCCGGGAGAGGGAUGCGGAAUUCCAGGUGUAGCGGUGAAAUGCGUAGAUAUCUGGAGGAACACCGGUGGCGAAGGCGACAUCCUGGACCGGUAUUGACGCUGAGGCGCGAAAGCCAGGGGAGCAAACGGGAUUAGAUACCCCGGUAGUCCUGGCCCUAAACGAUGAAUGCUUGGUGUGGCGGGUAUCGAUCCCUGCCGUGCCGAAGCUAACGCAUUAAGCAUUCCGCCUGGGGAGUACGGUCGCAAGGCUG